rnacentral:rRNA from 1 species
AUGGACGCUGGCGGCGUGCCUAAUACAUGCAAGUCGAGCGAACAGACGAGGAGCUUGCUCCUCUGACGUUAGCGGCGGACGGGUGAGUAACACGUGGAUAACCUACCUAUAAGACUGGGAUAACUUCGGGAAACCGGAGCUAAUACCGGAUAAUAUAUUGAACCGCAUGGUUCAAUAGUGAAAGACGGUUUUGCUGUCACUUAUAGAUGGAUCCGCGCCGCAUUAGCUAGUUGGUAAGGUAACGGCUUACCAAGGCGACGAUGCGUAGCCGACCUGAGAGGGUGAUCGGCCACACUGGAACUGAGACACGGUCCAGACUCCUACGGGAGGCAGCAGUAGGGAAUCUUCCGCAAUGGGCGAAAGCCUGACGGAGCAACGCCGCGUGAGUGAUGAAGGUCUUCGGAUCGUAAAACUCUGUUAUUAGGGAAGAACAAAUGUGUAAGUAACUAUGCACGUCUUGACGGUACCUAAUCAGAAAGCCACGGCUAACUACGUG